GGUCUAAUAGGCAGGAAGUGACCUGUUUGGGCUGCGCCAGGGGUAACGUGCGGGUUCCUCUUACGUCAGUUCCGCUGUGUGGUGGGAGCGGCCAGUGACCCUCUGUUGUGGGCGUUGUCCUUACGUUCCCUGGGCGUAAACUCGCGAGUCUUUCGUGUCAGCAGUAAUGAGAAAGAUGGAGAAUGGGCUGAGCGAGAAAGCUCACGCCGCCCCGGCACCGGGGAGGCAGAGGCUGUUGGAUCUGAAUCUGAGGCCAGUCUGGCCUGAAUAGCAAGUUCCACACCAGCCAAGGCUCCAUAGCGAGACCUUGGAAGUCGAGAGAAGGGAAGUUUUGUUGUGUAGAAAAUAAAUGUAGCCAGUAAAGGUAGAUGGAGUGAUAAAGUGACCAUUUGGGGUGCUUACACAUUACCCAUAGAAGCUAGAAGUCUUGUGGUGAAAGGAAGUAGAGGAAGGGCGAUUGUUUCCAGAGUUAGGAUGUUCACACAAGUAUGAAGUAUCGUAUUCCACAGGGAAUAAAUAAUUACAAUGAAAAGUUGGCAUUCACCUAAUUAUCGGCUUCCGCGUCACUAAUUGUGAGACAGCCGUACUUUAUGCAGCUCUUAGUGAAUGUCAGCCUGAAUGACUGACACCUGUAACGGAAUAUAAUCAAGCCUUCCAGUUUAAAAGAAAUGCACGCAUAAAGAAAGAUGUAAAUGGCCAAGAGCAAAGAACCGCAGGUGCAGAAGAAGCCAGUUUAGCUCUCACUAUUGGAUGGGCCCUUCUCACCACGUGAUGUCCAGAGUCACAUCAAGGUUCUGCAGAAUCCCACCAGCAAGAAGACCUGACCCAGACCUUGAAGUUGGACCUCCCACCCUCCAGCAUUCAACUUCAAACACUCAGUCAAGCUUUGCGGCUGAGGACUCUGGUGAAGAAAGGAAGGCAAACAACAUUUGUAAGAGGACUUACUGCAGAUCAGGAGUUGGCAGGAUAAAACCUGGCCUGCUUUCUGUUUUGUAAAUAAAGUUUUAUUA